CCUACGGGAGGCAGCAGUGAGGAAUAUUGGUCACUGGGCGCGAGCCUGAACCAGCCAAGUCGCGUGAGGGAAGACGGUCCUAUGGAUUGUACACCUCUUUUGUCGGGGAGCAAAAGACGCCACGCGUGGCGUUCAGAGCGUACACGAAGAAAAAGCAUCGGCUAACUCCGUGCCAGCAGCCGCGGUAAUACGGAGGAUGCGAGCGUUCUCCGGAUUUAUUGGGUUUAAAGGGUGCGUAGUCGGUCGGAUAAGUUAGAGGUGAAAUCCCGAGGCUCAACUUCGGAAUUGCCGCGGAUACUGUGCGGCUAGAGAGUAGGUGCGGUAGGCGGAAUGUAUGGUGUAGCGGUGAAAUGCUUAGAGAUCAUACAGAACACCGAUUGCGAAGGCAGCUUACCAAGCUACUUCUGACGUUGAGGCACGAAAGCGUGGGGAGCAAACAGGAUUAGAUACCCGUGUAGUC
rnacentral:rRNA from 1 species